rnacentral:rRNA from 1 species
GAUGAACGCUGGCGGCGUGCCUAAUACAUGCAAGUCGAGCGAACGGACGAGAAGCUUGCUUCUCUGAUGUUAGCGGCGGACGGGUGAGUAACACGUGGAUAACCUACCUAUAAGACUGGGAUAACUUCGGGAAACCGGAGCUAAUACCGGAUAAUAUUUUGAACCGCAUGGUUCAAAAGUGAAAGACGGUCUUGCUGUCACCUAUAGAUGGAUCCGCGCUGCAUUAGCUAGCUGGUAAGGUAACGGCUUACCAAGGCAACGAUGCAUAGCCGACCUGAGAGGGUGAUCGGCCACACUGGAACUGAGACACGGUCCAGACUCCUACGGGAGGCAGCAGUAGGGAAUCUUCCGCAAAGGGCGAAAGCCUGACGGAGCAACGCCGCGUGAGUGAUGAAGGUCUUCGGAUCGUAAAACUCUGUUAUUAGGGAAGAACAUAUGUGUAAGUAACUGUGCACAUCUUGACGGUACCUAAUCAGAAAGCCACGGCUAACUACGUG